rnacentral:rRNA from 1 species
UACGUAGGGUGCGAGCGUUGUCCGGAAUUAUUGGGCGUAAAGGGCUCGUAGGCGGUUUGUCGCGUCGGGAGUGAAAACACUGGGCUUAACUCAGUGCUUGCUUCCGAUACGGGCAGACUAGAGGUAUGCAGGGGAUAACGGAAUUCCUGGUGUAGCGGUGAAAUGCGCAGAUAUCAGGAGGAACACCGAUGGCGAAGGCAGGUCUCUGGGCAUUAACUGACGCUGAGGAGCGAAAGCAUGGGGAGCGAACAGG